AGAGUUUGAUCAUGGCUCAAAACAAACGCUGGCGGCGUGCCUAAUACAUGCAAGUCGAACGGGGAAAGUAGCAAUAUGAGUACCAGUGGCGCACGGGUGAGAAACGCGUGGGUAAUCUGCCUUAGAGUGGGGGAUAACCAAUCGAAAGAUUGGCUAAUACCGCAUAAGACCACAGGAGCUGCGGCUCUAGGGGUAAAAGGGUUUUCGCUCUAAGAUGAGCCCGCGUAGGAUUAGCUAGUUGGUGAGGUAAAGGCUCACCAAGGCAAAGAUCCUUAGCUGGUCUGAGAGGAUGAUCAGCCACACUGGAACUGAGACACGGUCCAGACUCCUACGGGAGGCAGCAGUAGGGAAUAUUGCGCAAUGGGGGAAACCCUGACGCAGCGACGCCGCGUGAGUGAUGAAGGACUUCGGUUCGUAAAGCUCUGUUGCAAGGGAAAAAGUUCUGAUUGUACCUUGUGAGGAAGGGUCGGCUAACUUCGUGCCAGCAGCCGCGGUAAUUC
rnacentral:rRNA from 1 species